UUUGAAGUAUAUAUAUACAUUUUAUUCUCAAUUUACUGCAUUCUCUAUUGCACCAUAUCUGUUUGUUCUUACAUCUAUUAAAACCACAGAUACUAAAUAGAAAAUAAGUCACAAUUGCACAUCAUUCCUCAUAGGUAGUGUUUAUCUGGGUGGUUAAUACCUUAUAUAACUAUUAUGCAGAUACCCUAGGAAAUUUGUGUUAAGAACUGAGUCUCAUCAAGACAGACAGAUCAACUUUUAACGACUGACUUCUUGCUAUAGCUUUUAAUAAGAAAGAGGUCAGGAAAGGGAGGCAAGGCAGCCAGCAAAACAUUUAGAACAGCUCUUUUUAUAAAGAACAUGAGAAAACAUAGGUCAGGAUGCCAAAAUCAGCAACAGGGGAAAGUUUUACACAGUGGUCCCUAUUAAAACGUCUACAAAUGCCUUUGCAAUUACCCUGGCAACACUGUUUCCAGAUAUGAUUCUAAUUACAGGGAAUAGUAUAAGGAAAGUUAAUUGCUAGCCCCAAAAUCAUAGUGACCCACAUGAACUUCACCAUAAAGGGGAUAAUCAAGAUUUAUGUAGGAUAUUUUAGUCAAGCUGUGAGCAGUAAUACUUUUUCAGACCACUUACUGUGGUACUGAAGGUAAAUUUAGGCACCUGUCUUACUAUCUUAUAUUUUGGAAGGGGAUUCUUGGCUUUAUCUCAUGAUCAAUUUCCCUCACUCUGAUCCCUGCACAACUAACAGAGGAAGCAAUGGUGAGGCAUAAGGCACUUACAGAACCAGACUGAACAUGACCCUUUUUUCUGAGUAGAAGUGAGGUUCUCUUGCCAGUGAGCUGGGUACAAAUUUUUGUGUUUGGGAUACACAAUUCAGCCUCAAAACCUUGGCCAAACCACAACUGAGAGACUCCAGUGCUCUGCUUUUGACACCUGACUUUACCAGAAAAUUCAUUACUUGUGCUGGAUGUGGCAUUUCCCUUGGCCUUUUCUCUCCAUCUACAAAACACAAGCUAUAACAAUGUUUUCAUCUACUCAGAAAUGACUCAUCUGUCUUGUCAUAGAAAUCUAAUUACAUUUUAGAUGACCAAAGUUAUCCCACUAGGUCUCCAGUUACAAAGUUAGAUGAUCAUGUGUUUCCUGUUGGUCUCGUGUCACAUCCUUCAGUCCUGUGCAGAUGUCCUUAGGUGUCUGUCAUUAUACAGAUGUGUGCAGCACAAAAUGGGCUUUGAACUUACUUUGAAUAUCUUGAGAAAGUCACCAGAAAGCACAUCUGCUGUUAUCUUAAACAGAAAAAAAAAGAAGAUUCAGUUAAGAAAUAAGGGCAUGAAUAUAUUGAUUUUAUCAGAUCUAACAAUAACUUUGGUAUAAAACUUCUGAUAAUCUGGUCUUCCCGUCCCUGUUCAUUGCAGGGGAGUUGGACUAGAUGGCCUUUUAAGUUCCUUUUCAAAUCAAAAUACAGUAUGAUUCUUUGAACCCACUGGAGGAAGGAAAAGAAGUUAUUGGCUUUCUGUCAGUAAAGAAAACUAUGGUCUUCAGUACUGAGAUAUAGGUAAGCAGUAGUCCAACUUACUUAAAGAUGUCAUGGAUUCCCUUCUGAUGAAAUUACUGGAGAAUUCUUAGGGAAAUACCAGGAAAAGUAUGAAUAUCCUCAGUCAGUUAUGUGAGUUAUCUUCAAUACAUACAUUGCUGGAACUUCUUUGGUUACAAAUCAAAUACCUCAGGGAUGCUCAAAUGACUUUUUCCUGCAAAAACACAGCUUAUUUUGCCCUGUUCAGUCAAAACUCCAGCUGUGUAUAUUGUUCUAUCUUUGCAGGUGCUGAUCCCCAGCUGCUCAUGAGUUGCAAGUCCUUUUAGGCGAUGGUCUUGUAUUUGAAUGACUGGCUAUGAAGGCUUUAAAUUGCAGCUCAAAAAGCCCUCUCAUAAGUGACACUGGACAACAAUCUCUGAAAGGGAAAGAAAUCUUUGAGAAUUUGGAAAGGGAUAACCUUAACGGUUAUUGCUACCUUACUCAGCGCUUAGCACUGGCUUUAAACAUCAUUUCAUCCAAGCUGGGCUGUCAAACAUGGCACAGGAACCAGAGGAGAGCUAUGCAUUUCUCAUACUUCAGGUGGAGAUCAGACAAGAGAACCCUAUGGUAUUUUCAGUUGGAAUAAAUGCUUUGUGUUAAGGGAAUUUUUCCUUCAGGCCCAAAUUCAUUUUGAAAAUGUGUGUGCCCAUAUAUAGGGAGCAACGUGUGGGACAGUGUGAAAACUGGUGUCAUCGUCUGUGGAAAUCUUGAGCUUCAAUAUGCAGAAACUUCAUUUUUGAUGCUCAGGAGGGUCCCAUUGUUUUCCAUUGCCCUAUUGCUUCCCUGCUAGCUUCUGUGACGAACAGUGCUCUUAAUUUCACUGACUGUACUGCUAAAUGAAACGAGAUCUUACACAACCAUUUCCCAUGCAGACAUUUGCAUGCGUUCCCGUAACACUUGAGUUUGAAUCUGCAAGCUGAAACUACCCCGAGUUCUGCAUUACUCAGUUAAUCAUUUGGUGUAUGUGGUUAACAUUUCUCGGAAGUUCUGCAGUAUCUCACAAGAAACACACUUCUAAGCUGUACCUCCUUAACACUGAGUAAAUUGCCUUAAGCAAUUGCCUAGCAUUAAAACAGACACUGAUGUAGAGCCUCAGAUGAUGUUUUGUUUCAGAGCUGGGACAGGUUAAGAGUACACAUGACUUUUACUGUGGAUUAAUGAGAAGGGGUUGCAAACACCAGUCGUCUUCUUUGAAGAGAACUGGGAACUGAAAUCAGGGUCAAAGGAUGCUGAAUAACAUCUUUGUGCUGAGCAGAGAGAUGAAAGGGAAGAUAUUUUCUUUAUGUUUUGAUGUCAAUUAACUCAGCUGCUUUCCAUGUCUGCUUUUCCUUUUCAGGCCACUCUAACCUUUCUUCUCUCCUUAAUAUAAGGGCUAUAUUUCUGUCUCCUAAUGAAUAGCUGCAGCAACAGCAGAUGGCCUGAUGAUGUGGUUUGGGUUCUGUGCUUGAGGAUCCACUCUGUGCUUUGGAAACAGCUGAAUUUUGACAGCCAUUUGGACACCAUGGUCUGAGGGAACCAGUGAACCAUAUAAAAGCACAGCAUCCCCUAAUUUAGCAGUUAAAAUCGUGGGAACAGGAAACACUGCUGAAGUAGCAACUGGAGAUAAAGAUAUGCUUUCAGGAAGUACCCCACUGGAGGGUACAUUCUUGGCUUUUUUUUUUUUUUUUUUGGUCACCACCACAGCUCAGGAAAGCAGGAUUAGAUGAAAUAGUCUGCCCUAGGGAAGCCCGAGCAGCUCUUGCUGUGGCAUACUGUCAGUUGUGUUGGUGUGGCACCUAAUGAGGAAAUAAUUGCAUGUAUCCUGGUGUCCAGAAAUAGUCUCUGAUGGGGUUGUCACAUGGCAAAUCAGCCUGUAGCUGCUGGGACAUCAGUCCAGAUGUGAAGAAGCUGUGUUGGUUCCAGCAGCUAACUUUACAAAUAAAUGUAGCAAAAAUGGUCUUGGGAGGACAAGGUUUUUGUUGGCUCUGCUAAACCUAAAGGCAUCCCUGUAGGCAGGUCAGGCUUAGCCAUCAUUAUGGCAACCUUGGGUCUGACCCAAAGCCUAUGAAGUCAAAGAGAAUCUAUCCAGUGAUUCCAGCAAGGCUUGGAUCUGUCGCACUGGGGACAGAACAGAAAAUUGUUUUCCUCCAGUUCUCCCCCGUAGAACAAUUUUGGAGCUCUUGCGUCUUUCAUUUUUCUCUUUCCAGACCCUCUGUCUCUCUUGCCCUCUAAUAUUAUUUCUCUCUCUCUUCUUUGGCAGCAAACUGCUCUGGAAAAGUCAGAGGAGAAACAUGAUCAGGCUGUUUUCUUCACUCGCAUGCCGCCCUCGGCAUUGUCUCGGGUAACCGGGCUGCUGUUUGUUAACCAUCAUUACCUAUUUCAAGUGGAAUUGUUAUCUGGAGCUCCAGGUUCAUCAGGCAAACUGGUUCAGUGCAGCAAAAAUACUGCUUUUUAUUUGUUUAUUCUGUUUUUUAUUGCUCUUUUACAGGCAAUGUCCAGGCCCAAGUCACUGCAGAUGUCCAACCAAAGUCCGUCAUUAGAGGCCAGUUGCAUAUUAUCACCUCUCGGGAUGCGGAACUUGCACUGCUGAGCAAUGCCACCCUUUGUCCUUCCCAUGCUUUCCUCUGCAUCUGAUACACAGAGCUGCAUCUGGAACUAUUUGCUGGGGUUUAGAUAUUUUCUUAUUGUGCUGUGCCAUAGCUCAAAUCCGGUAGUAGCUCUUGUGCUUCCUUUCUGAGUGCCACUGAACCUUACCUGUGUUUUGCCCAUGUAUUACCAUGGUUUCUACCUGGAUAAAGGAACAGGGAAUCUGCCAGGAGGUCUAAUGCAAGAAUCCCUCCUGUAGAUGAGUGACUCAGAGUCACUGUCUUUAGCAUCCCUGCAACAAACCCUCCACCAGCAUUUCCUGCUCCUUACCUACCUAUAGGAAAGAUGAGACAACAAAUGCAAAAAGUAGGGGCUCAACUAAGUUACCUAUACAAGGGAAUCUUGUGUUAUUGGAGAUGCCUUAGACACAACUUCAACAUAGUAUGGCAGAUAUGACACAAGAUCUGUCUCCUCCCAGAGCAGUACUGGGCACCCACAUAAGGUAUCCAAAGGUAUUGAAUGACCUGUGUGUAGGCAGCUGAGUUCUCUCAAGGCUGCACAUAGAUCCUGUGCUAGUGCAGGAAACUGCACCUCAAUAUAAUAAGUUACAGCCCUUUGUUAUCAUUUUUACAUGAUUACACUUCAUGCAGCCAAAUCAGAGCUGUCCUUGAGAACAACCAGAAUGUCCUUUAUCCAAAUCCAGAUAUCCUAUUUUGUUUAUGAUACCAAAUUCAAUGGUACAUGGAACAGAGUAAUCUCUAAAAAAAGAUAAAUGCAGGUAAACGAUGGCUGGAAGAAGUCUGGGAUAAUCAAGCACCAGGCCAUAUCCCCUCUGAGGUUCAGCAACUGGAUUUCUACAUUUGUUAUAAGAAACAGAGUGCUAUUCCCUUACAGUCACAACAACAGCAGGACAACCAUAUGAGACUGAUUAUGUUACAAUGAGCCCUGCAAUGAAAGACAUUUCACUUCAUCUGUGGCUCCAGAGCAGACUUUCUGGAUGAAAUGAGAAAGCUGUCAUGGUCUGGAAACCAAGACAAUGAACUGGGACUCAGGAGACUAGAAUGGAUAUCUGGCUCAUAAGAUAUGACCAGAAGGGAGAAUUAAAUCUUAUUAUCCGAUAUGGAAAUCAUGGCUUAAAAAUUUAAACGGUCACCCUUCUCCUGAAUCCAAUAACAGCUGUUCACCUUGGGAACUUUUGUCAUAAAGUCAUUCAGUCCCAAAACAGGAGAGCCUCGUAGAUUGCUCCAGUGGUAAAUCACCAUCACUUCUUAAUUCUCAGCUAAAUUAAUAUAGCUUCAUAUUCCAAAGUUUGGAUUUAUUAGAUCCUUUUCUGCUAGGUAGAAGGAGUCUGUAAGUCCUGCAUGUUUUUUUGUUAGAAUACUUACACAUAAGCUUAGCAGUAUGCGAUUCUGAAUAAUAAAUGCCAAUUUUACACUCUUUCCUCAGUUACAAAUGAAUACAUCUCUCUUCUUUGUCUUUCUCACAGGCACUCUGUGGGGCUGCAACAUAUAGAAUAUCUGAAAUAGCUCUGGCAUAUAUGACAAAGGACCUACAAACCUCAGGUCUUCUGGGCUGGCAGCUGCAAUCCAAGCAGGGUACCUUGGGUCCUUUCAGAUGGCACCAGGCACCUCUGCUUAAGUAACAGACCUCCCUCUCUUAACUCACAUUGCAGACAUGGACAUUGUGGCUACUUUUUUUAUUAUUAUUAUUUUUUAAUAAUUUAUUUCAAAUAUGAGAAUCUGGAGCUAAAUGCAGCCUGAGGUGUCACUGUGAGAAGCUCAGCAUUGACUCUGUGCCCUUACUUGAUCUCUGGCCUUGUUUCUUGUGUACUUCUAGAAGGGAUGCCAAGCAGUGAGCAAAUGUUCUAAAAUAAUAUUCCUACCUGUCAAAAACAGCACUUCUGAGAUGUCAUUUUAAAUAGUAAAGGAUUCUUGAAAUGAAAAAGUCCAUGUCUUCCUGAAUAAAAUCAACAACUAGAACAACUCUGUCACCAGAGACCCAUGAGUGAAGCUUUCUUUCACUUUGGAUUUUAAAGACAGUAAAUUUAUGGUCGUACUUCACUACAACAGAACAUUAGAAGAAUAUUACAUUUGUUCUGGCCCAGUGCUGAAGCAUGAUGUCACUUUAAUAAAAUCAUGGUUUGCUGAUGUCCUGGAAUCUCUAAGAUUGUUUAUAGUUCCCAGAUGAUAUUCCCUGCAAAGGUGUUUUCUGUUUCAUUUUGGUCUGGUUUUGUUUUCAGUUUGGACUUUUCACAUUCUAGAGGCAUGCUUUUUAAAAUGAAAAAGGUAUUAUAUUCUCAAACUCAGAAGAAACCCUUUGUUUAGCAAAUACCCCUUGAUCAGGACCUUGCAUAACAAUGAACAUGUUGAGUGGAUCCAUAGAAAACUAUAUAAGUCUGAGGCUAAAUAUAUCCAUGCUGGAAUAAAUAACACUUGAUGAUUGUUUGGGCUCAUUAGCAGGUAGAAGAGUAACCCAAUGGGAAAUUUAUCUUUUUCAAGCAUUGUUUCCCUCAUCAGGUGCUACAUUCUGGAUAUGUAAAAGUCCUUGGAGUAUACAGUAGAAGCUUAAAUAAAAUAAAAUAAAAUAAAAUAAAAUAAAAUAAAAUAAAAUAAAAUAAAAUAAAAUAAAAUAAAAUAAAAUAAA
ensembl:lncRNA